GGCUUAGAGUUUGAUCAUGGCUCAGGAUGAACGCUGGCGGCGUGCCUAACACAUGCAAGUCGAACGAAGCGCUUUACUUUGAUUUCUUCGGAUUGAGAAGUUUUGUGACUGAGUGGCGGACGGGUGAGUAACGCGUGGGUAACCUGCCUCACACAGGGGGAUAACAGUUAGAAAUGGCUGCUAAUACCGCAUAAGACCACAGCACCGCAUGGUGCAGGGGUAAAAACUCCGGUGGUGUGAGAUGGACCCGCGUCUGAUUAGCUAGUUGGUAAGGUAAGGGCUUACCAAGGCGACGAUCAGUAGCCGACCUGAGAGGGUGACCGGCCACAUUGGGACUGAGACACGGCCCAAACUCCUACGGGAGGCAGCAGUGGGGAAUAUUGCACAAUGGGGGAAACCCUGAUGCAGCGACGCCGCGUGAGUGACGAAGUAUUUCGGUAUGUAAAGCUCUAUCAGCAGGGAAGAAACUGACGGUACCUGACUAAGAAGCACCGGCUAAAUACGUGCCAGCAGCCGCGGUAAUACGUAUGGUGCAAGCGUUAUCCGGAUUUACUGGGUGUAAAGGGAGCGUAGACGGAUAGGCAAGUCUGGAGUGAAAACCCGGGGCUCAACCCCGGGACUGCUUUGGAAACUGUUUAUCUAGAGUGCUGGAGAGGUAAGUG
rnacentral:rRNA from 1 species